AGGGCGUUUGGUGGAUGCCUAGGCAGCAAGAGGCGAUGAAGGACGUGAUACCCUGCGAUAAGCCAUGGGGAGCCGGGAAUAGGCUUUGAUCCAUGGGUCUCCGAAUGGGGAAACCCACCUGACAGUUCGUUAUAACUACCUCGGUAGCUUAUAAUGGGCUGAGACAGGUACUUUAACCCUGAAUACAUAGGGGUUUUAGAGCGAACCCGGGGAACUGAAACAUCUAAGUACCCGGAGGAAAGGAAAUCAACAGAGACUCCGCUAGUAGUGGCGAGCGAACGCGGACCAGCCGAGCCUGGAAGAGUGACUGGAAGCGUCUGGAAAGGCGCGCCACAGCGGGUGACAGCCCCGUACAGGAAGCUCCACGGGACAUAUUAAGUAGGGCGGGACACGUGAAAUCCUGUCUGAAGAUCGGGGGACCACCCCCGAAGGCUAAGUACUCCUUGCUGACCGAUAGCGAACCAGUACCGUGAGGGAAAGGUGAAAAGCACCCCGACGAGGGGAGUGAAACAGUACCUGAAACCGGACGCCUACAAGCAGUCGGAGCGGCCUUGAGCCCUGACGGCGUACCUUUUGUAUAAUGGGUCAACGACUUGGUCUAACGAGCGAGCUUAAGCCGAUAGGUGUAGGCGCAGCGAAAGCGAGUCUUAAAAGGGCGCAUGAGUUCGUUGGAUCAGACCCGAAACCAGGUGAUCUAGCCAUGAGCAGGAUGAAGGUUGGGUAACACCAACUGGAGGUCCGAACCCACACCUGUUGAAAAAGAUCGGGAUGACUUGUGGCUAGGGGUGAAAGGCCAAUCAAACUCGGAGAUAGCUGGUUCUCCGCGAAAGCUAUUUAGGUAGAGCGUCAGACGAAUACCCUCGGGGGUAGAGCACUGGAUGGGUGAUGGGGUCCCACAGACUUACUGAGCCUAAGCAAACUCCGAAUACCCGAGAGGACUGUCCGGGAGACACACGGCGGGUGCUAACGUCCGUCGUGAAGAGGGAAACAACCCUGACCUGCAGCUAAGGCCCCCAAUUCGUGGCUAAGUGGGAAAGCAUGUGGGACGGCCAAAACAACCAGGAGGUUGGCUUAGAAGCAGCCAUCCUUUAAAGAUAGCGUAACAGCUCACUGGUCUAGAUAAGCUGUCCUGCGGCGAAGAUGUAACGGGGCUCAAGCCACGAGCCGAAGCUCAGGGUGCACGCAAGUGCGCGGUAGCGGAGCGUUCUGUUCUGUAUCUCAUGUCUCUUUGACGCCCCAGGGCGUCCCGGAGACAGCGAGAUCUGCUGUGAAGCGGGCCCGUGAGGGACCCGUGGAGCGUUCAGAAGUGAGAAUGUUGACAUGAGUAGCGACAAAGAGGGUGAGAGACCCUCUCGCCGAAAGUCCAAGGGUUCCUGCUUAAAGCUAAUCUGAGCAGGGUAAGCCGGCCCCUAAGGCGAGGCCGAAAGGCGUAGUCGAUGGGAACCAGGUUAAUAUUCCUGGGCCAGGAGGAUGUGACGGAUCUCAGGUGUAGUUCGGUCUUAUCGGAUUGACCGGGCUGCUGAGAGGUUCCUGGAAAUAGCCCUCCAUCAGACCGUACCCUAAACCGACACAGGUGGACUGGUAGAGAAUACCAAGGCGCUUGAGCGAAGUGUGCUGAAGGAACUCGGCAAAUUACCUGCGUAACUUCGGGAUAAGCAGGCCGUCAAUCUGGGCAACCAGAGUGGCGGGGCACAGACCAGGGGGUGGCGACUGUUUACCUAAAACACAGGGCUAUGCUAAGUCCAACGACGACGUAUAUGGCCUGACGCCUGCCCGGUGCUGGAAGGUUAAGAGGAGAAGUGCAAGCUUUGAAUCGAAGCCCCAGUAAACGGCGGCCGUAACUAUAACGGUCCUAAGGUAGCGAAAUUCCUUGUCGGGUAAGUUCCGACCUGCACGAAUGGCGUAACGACUUCCCCACUGUCUCCAGCACACACUCAGUGAAAUUGAAUUCCCCGUGAAGAUGCGGGGUUCCUGCGGUUAGACGGAAAGACCCCGUGCACCUUUACUGUAGCUUUACACUGGCAAUCGUGUUUGCAUGUGUAGGAUAGGUGGUAGGCUUUGAAGCUUGGGCGCCAGCUCGAGUGGAGCCGCAAUGUGAAAUACCACCCUUAUGAACAUGGUUGUCUAACCGCGGACCGUCAUCCGGUCCCGGGACAUUGUAUGGUAGGCAGUUUGACUGGGGCGGUCGCCUCCUAAAGUGUAACGGAGGCGUGCGAAGGUGGGCUCAGGUUGGUCGGAAAUCAACCGUCGAGUGCAAUGGCAUAAGCCCGCCUGACUGCGAGACUGACAAGUCGAGCAGAGUCGAAAGACGGCCAUAGUGAUCCGGUGGUCCCAAGUGGGAGGGCCAUCGCUCAACGGAUAAAA
rnacentral:rRNA from 1 species